AGAAUGAACGCUGGCGGCAUGCCUAACACAUGCAAGUCGAACGAAUUACCUUCGGGUAGUUAGUGGCGCACGGGUGCGUAACGCGUGGGAAUCUGCCCUUGGGUUCGGAAUAACAGUGAGAAAUUACUGCUAAUACCGGAUAAUGUCGCAAGACCAAAGAUUUAUUGCCCAAGGAUGAGCCCGCGUAAGAUUAGCUAGUUGGUGGGGUAAAGGCCUACCAAGGCGACGAUCUUUAGCUGGUCUGAGAGGAUGAUCAGCCACACUGGGACUGAGACACGGCCCAGACUCCUACGGGAGGCAGCAGUGGGGAAUCUUGCGCAAUGCGCGAAAGCGUGACGCAGCAACGCCGCGUGGGGGAAGACGGCCUUCGGGUUGUAAACCCCGUUUCAGUUGGGACGAAGCUUCGGCGGUGAAUAGCCGUCUGGAGUGACGGUACCUUCAGAAGAAGCCCCGGCUAACUACGUGCCAGCAGCCGC
rnacentral:rRNA from 1 species